UUAGACAGUACAGUAUAAAUUCGGCUGCUCAAUAAGUAACAAAUAACAUAGUCACUGCAACGUAGCUUUGGAAACAACAUUAAAUACGCAAGCGGCCCUGCUGAAAUGUUAAGUCGAAAUAAUUAAAUAAAAAUAAUGUGAAAAAAGUGAAAAAUAGGAAUACGAAAAUAAAAACGCCAACAACCAUGAAAAUAAUAUUGCUAUCAUACCUGUAUAUAAGAAGGAGAAAUUACUAAAUCACAUUUAAGCUUCGGCGAGUUUAACGACUAGCAGAAAAACAAAAGAAAAAGCAAAAUAAUAACAAUAGUAGCAUUAAGCAGUAAAAAUAAAAAGCAGUUAGUGUAAAAUAUAUGGAACAGUCGUAAUAAUUCCAAAGCCAUUAAACCAUUAAGCCAAUAAUUUUGUGCAAGCAAGUAUAGGGCUUACCGAAGUUGCCCUGUGUAAUUUUUUCGGUAAAAUUCUAUAGUAUACAUAUUAGGUUGAAAGGUGAAUAAAUAAUAUUCACUUUGAAUAGUGAAUAGAUUUUAAACCGGUUUUAUGAACUGUUUAUUUGACAUCUUCAGCAAACUGUACAAUUUUCACAGAAUCUAUGUAAGUUUACGAAAUAAUAAGCAGUCAUGCUAUGGUCGCCUUGCGGCGAAUGAUCGAUGCCCGCCAUUAGCACCGAUACCAGCCUACAUAAAGAACCCACAAUUACUUUUUUAAGCGCGGAUCAGCUAACCAUCAACGUUUUUGUAUUGACCUUUUGCGUUGGCAUUUUACAUACAUACAGCAAUAUUUUAGAAACCAGUAUCCGUGAUUGUUUUGCAGUUUCUCGUAACCUUGCUUACUGGAUUGUCAUGAUAAUUCCCGAACUGCAUGCUUGCAUUUGAAUUGGAAACGUUUAGAUCGAUUUUCUCAAUCAAAAAACUGACGGACGAACAUCAUUUAACGUAUAUAUAAUAAUAAUAUAUAGAAUAGAAUUAAAAGAUGUCUUCCUUCAGAGUAUGCUCGAGUUUAGUUAACCGUCCCCUCUGCUCUACUGUAGUUUUGGCAAGUUAUCCUUCGUAAACUAUGUAUACUUUGACAGCAUUGCAGAAAUUAACUGAUAUUUAGGAAUGGACAAAAUUCUUGAGACAAUUGGAGCCGGUAAUACGAUUCCGCUCAUCAACAACGAGUAUCAUCCUUCUGCUUCAUUUCAGUUCCCACAGAACACUAUUUUAGGCCAGAUAAGCCUGCAGCAACACAAAUUUUAGUAGAUUUCAGAGAAGUGGCCAUUCUACUAAAAAAAUCUUAAUGCAAGGCGAACGAUUAUAUAUUUAAAGACGCAAAUAAAUCAAUUAAGCUGAAAAAUAAACGAUACGUAUAAAAUUUGUAAAUUUUCUGCUCUCUUGCCUCGCACUUUUCCGAAAUAAGUAAGCAAUCGUUGUGCAAUGUUAAGCGAACAAGCGACGGCGUCGCAGAAUGCAUUGCAAGUGAAACUUAUAAAAAUAUUUUUUAAGACUUAAAAAACAUUAAUUUUUAAUUUG